AUUGAACGCUGGCGGCAGGCUUAACACAUGCAAGUCGAGCGGGGUGAUGGUGCUUGCACUAUCACUUAGCGGCGGACGGGUGAGUAAUGCUUAGGAAUCUGCCUAUUAGUGGGGGACAACAUCUCGAAAGGGAUGCUAAUACCGCAUACGUCCUACGGGAGAAAGCAGGGGAUCACUUGUGACCUUGCGCUAAUAGAUGAGCCUAAGUCGGAUUAGCUAGUUGGUGGGGUAAAGGCCUACCAAGGCGACGAUCUGUAGCGGGUCUGAGAGGAUGAUCCGCCACACUGGGACGGAGACACGGCCCAGACUCCUACGGGAGGCAGCAGUGGGGAAUAUUGGACAAUGGGGGGAACCCUGAUCCAGCCAUGCCGCGUGUGUGAAGAAGGCCUUAUGGUUGUAAAGCACUUUAAGCGAGGAGGAGGCCCUUUUGGUUAAUACCCAAGAUGAGUGGACGUUACUCGCAGAAUAAGCACCGGCUAACUCUGUGCCAGCAGCCGCCGUAA
rnacentral:rRNA from 1 species